AUGGCUCUUGGACCUGAUGGAAUUCCUAUAGAGUUCUUAUCAGUACUCAAACAUGACCCGCUGACUCCUUUUUAUGAUUUCUACGUGCACAAGUUGGAUCUACGCCAAAUAAUUAACUUCGAGGCUAUAAAUCUACUACCUAAAAUUGAUGAUGCUGAAACCAUUCAGUUGCCGAGAAGAAGUGGUUCUAGACCUUCUGUUGACACACAUAAAAGGUGUUUCAAGCCAUAUUCGCUCAUACACGCAUGGUAUGAAGGGCCCAUGGCUAGGCUAACAAUUUCCUUAAGUGUGCCACCCCUGGUUUCCUUAUAA
rnacentral:rRNA from 1 species